AACGUAGGGGGCGAGCGUUGCCCGGAUUCACUGGGCGUAAAGCGGGUCUAGGCGGUCCGUUAAGUCGGGUGUGAAAUCUCCAGGCUCAACCUGGAAACUGCACCCGAUACUGGCGGACUUGAGGACGGUAGAGGUCGGUGGAAUGAGCGGUGUACCGGUGAAAUGGACAGAUAUCGCUCAGAACACCAGUGGCGAAGGCGGCCGACUGGGCCGUUCCUGACGCUGACACCCGAAAGCCAGGGGAGUGAACCGG
rnacentral:rRNA from 1 species